rnacentral:rRNA from 1 species
UGCAGUCGAACGAGGUAGCAAUACCUAGUGGCGCACGGGCGAGGAACACGUAGAUAAUCUGCCCUAAGCUGGGGGAUAACCAGUCGAAAGACUGGCUAAUACCGCAUAAGACCACAAGAUCUGCGGAUCAAGGGGUUAAAGGAGCAAUUCGGCAUAGGAUGAGUCUGCGUCCGAUUAGCUAGUUGGUGAGGUAACGGCUCACCAAGGCUGUGAUCGGUAGAUGGUCUGAGAGGAUGAUCAUCCGCACUGGAACUGAGACACGGUCCAGACUCCUACGGGAGGCAGCAGUAGGGAAUAUUGGACAAUGGGGGAAACCCUGAUCCAGCAACGCCGCGUGAGUGAUGAAGGCCUUCGGGUCGUAAAGCUCUGUCGCAGGGGACGAAAAAAAUGACGGUACCCUGCAAGAAAGGACCGGCCAACUUCGUGCCAGCAGCCGCGGUAAUACGGGGGGUCCAAGCGUUGUCCGGAAUCACUGGGCGUAAAGCGUGUGUAGGUGGCUCUUCAAGUCGUGUGUGAAAGCCCGGGGCCUAACCCCGGAAGUGCACUCGAUACUGUUAAGCUUGAGUAUCAGAGAGGAUAGUGGAAUUCCAGGUGUAGUGGUGAAAUACGUAGAUAUCUGGAGGAACACCGGUGGCGAAGGCGGCUAUCUGGCUGAAUACUGACACUGAAACACGAAAGCGUGGGGAUCAAACAGGAUUAGAUACCCUGGUAGUCCACGCCGUAAACGAUGAUCACUUGUUGUUGGGAGGUAUUGACCCCUUCAGUGACGUAGCUAACGCGUUAAGUGAUCCGCCUGGGGAAGUACGGUCGCAAGAUUAAAACUCAAAGAAAUUGACGGGGGCCCGCACAAGCGGUGGAGCAAGGUGGUUUAAUUCGAUGCAACGCGCAAAACCUUACCUAGAUUUGA